UAAUGUUUUUUAUUAUACUAACGGCUUUGUUUAAAACGUAGAAAAUAAGCAUUUUUUCUUUUAAAAGCCUAGGAAUAGGUUACUUUAGGAGGGGCUUGCGCCAUAUUAGUUAGUUGUUAGGGUAAUGGCCUACCAAGACGAUGAUGUGUAGCUGGACUGAGAGGUUGAACAGCCACAUUGGGACUGAGACACGGCCCAAAUUCCUACGGGAGGCAGCAGUAGGGAAUUUUCGGCAAUGGAGGAAACUCUGACCGAGCAACGCCGCGUGAACGACGAAGUACUUUGGUAUGUAAAGUUCUUUUAUCAAGGAAGAAAAGCAAGUGGUGAACCAUUUGUUUGCCGGUACUUGAUGAAUAAGCCCCGGCUAAUUAUGUGCCAGCAGCCGCGGUAAGACAUAAGGGGCAAGUGUUAUCCGGAAUUAUUGGGCGUAAAGGGUGCGUAGGCGGUCUAGUAAGUCAGUGGUGUAAUGGCAACGCUCAACGUUGUCCGGCUAUUGAAACUGCUAAACUUGAGUUAGAUAGAGGCGAGUGGAAUUCCAUGUGUAGCGGUAAAAUGCGUAAAUAUAUGGAGGAACACCAGAGGCGUAGGCGGCUCGCUGGGUCUUAACUGACGCUGAGGCACGAAAGCGUGGGGAGCAAACAGGAUUAGAUACCCUGGUAGUCCACGCCGUAAACGAUGAGUACUAAGUGUCGGGUUAAACCGGUACUGAAGUUAACACAUUAAGUACUCCGCCUGAGUAGUACGUACGCAAGUAUGAAACUUAAAGGAAUUGACGGGACUCCGCACAAGCGGUGGAUCAUGUUGUUUAAUUCGAAGAUACCCGAAAAACCUUACCAGGUCUUGACAUGUUUUUGCGAAACGGUAGUAAUAUCGUGGAGGUUAUCAGAAACACAGGUGGUGCAUGGUUGUCGUCAGCUCGUGUCGUGAGAUGUUAGGUUAAGUCCUAAAACGAGCGAAACCCUUAUCGUUAGUUGCCAGCACGUUAUGGUGGGGACUUUAACGAGACUGCCAGUGAUAAAUUGGAGGAAGGUGAGGAUCACGUCAAAUCAGCAUGCCCCUUAUGACCUGGGCUACAAACGUGAUACAAUGGCUGUUACAAAGGGUAGCUGAAACGCAAGUUCUUGGCCAAUCCCCAAAAACAGUCUCAGUCCGGAUUGAAGUCUGCAACUCGACUUCAUGAAGUUGGAAUCGCUAGUAAUCGCGAAUCUGACAUGCGUGUGAAUUCUGGCAUU
rnacentral:rRNA from 1 species